UCCAACUUAUCGCUGGCGGUCUCCUGAGAGUGCCCCCUUGCGGGGUUGCAACACAGGACAAGGGUUGCGCUCGUUGCGGGACUUAACCCAACAUCUCACGACACGAGCUGACGACAGCCAUGCAGCACCUCGACUGGACCCCCUUGCGGGGUAGCGAUGUUUCCACCGCCGUUGACCAGCCGUUCGAGCCCAGGUAAGGUGGGGAUGACGUAUUCUACG
rnacentral:misc_RNA from 1 species